rnacentral:lncRNA from 1 species
CUUGUGACUAGCACUUCCUUCCUGCCGGAUGGGGCUUGCUUCCUGGUGUUGGAGGAGAGAGGAGCUUGUUCAGCCAGUCUGGAGUGCCAUGCUCUUUCUUGGUUCAGCCUGAAGAUUCAAGUCCAAUCUCUUCUGAAGACAUCCUACAUUACCUUGAAUUACUCUGAUAGAAAAUGAAUAGAAUCUACAGGCACUUUACAGAAACUGUG